rfam:Candidatus Wallbacteria bacterium GWC2_49_35 gwc2_scaffold_4012, whole genome shotgun sequence.
GCGCUCGUAGCUCAAUGGAUAGAGCAUCGGACUUCGGAUCCGCAGGUUGCAGGUUCGACUCCUAUCGGGCGCG